AUUGAACGCUGGCGGCAGGCCUAACACAUGCAAGUCGAACGAGUGGCGGACGGGUGAGUAAUGUCUGUGAAACUGCCUGAUGGAGGGGGAUAACUACUGGAAACGGUAGCUAAUACCGCAUACCAUCGGAUGUGCCCAGAUGGGAUUAGCUUGUUGGUGGGGUAACGGCUCACCAAGUCGACGAUCCCUAGCUGGUUUGCGAGGAUGACCAGACACACUGGAACGGAGACACGGUCCAGACUCCUACGUGAGGCAGCAGUGGGGAAUAUUGGACAAUGGGCGCAAGCCUGAUGCAGCCAUGCCGCGUGUAUGAAGAAGGCCUUCGGGUUGUAAAGUACUUUCAGCGGGGAGGCGUUACCCGCAGAAGAAGCACCGGCUAACUCCGUGCCAGCAGCCGCGGUAAUAC
rnacentral:rRNA from 1 species